rnacentral:lncRNA from 13 species
GGAAGGCUUUCUUCCAACAAUCCUUAUCCGUGGGGACCAGGAUUAAGCUACAGUACUCCACGACUCAUUUACCACACUCCACCAAACCGCCUUCGGUUUGCUGAGGAGGAGAUGAGGUUCAAUCCAUCCAGACUCCCCCACUUCCUACUGGGAGAGGACCGCAGGAGAGAGCAUUGACACAACAGUGGAGGAGAGAGGAAGAGGAAAGCAACCAGUGCAAUGAUGUCCACAGGUCUGCAGGAGCAGGGCUCUCUUCUCAGCAGCUGCAAAGAAGUGGAGUAAGAAGUAAGUGGCAGGGAGGGUUCCUUUUGUUUUGCAGGCUAGCUGGGCUUGCAUGAGAAAUGAGGCUGAAUGGAUUCUUCCAUCUCUGGUCCUGCAGACUAUCUGAGGGACAAUGACUCCCGUUUCUGACACUGUCACUCCAGCCCUGGAUUGCACCAACGUUGCUGAAGCUGACACUUUAAUAUAAAGCAACUUGUGCAUUGCAGCAAAGAAACUAAACUAAAUCAGAGCACCUAUCUUGUGUAAACAUGACCUUUAUGUCCAGCAUUCAUUUGACACUCUCUGCUAAAACAACUCUACCUCCAACUAAAAUCAUCUGAAACGAGGGCUUUGAACUGCUGGCACCAAGACUGCAGCUCCAGAGGGACUAAUAAAUGUAUAUGGUUUCCCCUUCUUGCUGCCUUUUGUGUCCCCUAUAAAGAAGGAUUCUGCAUGAGACUGAAGGAGGAGAAGAAAUGCACUUUUAGAUAGUGUUACCUUUCUGUUUCUAUUGUAUCAUAACCAUUAAUCCCCAUCUCUGGAUUUCUGUGUACUGCCAUAGUCCUUGCUCCCUGUGUUGUGUAGUAAAGGGGAGCCAGGGAGGCACAGAGGUGGUAAUUACAGAC